ACGUGUGCGUGUGAUCGAGCAGGAGAAAAGGGGAAGGGGUGUAAACCCUAACCCACAUGAAAUCAUCAAAUUGGAAAAGGAUUUGAGGGUUAAUUGGAUGCAUGAACCAAGAUUUAUGAUCACUCAAGCGUUCUUGACACCAAGAUAGGAAUCCCAAAUUGACAUGGACUCAAGUAUGGAAAGCUAACGGGUCAAGCGGAGGUGAGGAAGCAAGCAUGAACACUAACACUUAAGAUAUGUAGGUGCGUAUGAUCAGACGUAUGAAUAUAUGAAUGCACGAAGUAGGAUUUAUCGUCUAUGAAAAGAAUGGGACAGGUAUGCAUGUAUACAUGGUUUCAAUACGUUUGAGUAUGGACAUUACUAAUGAUGUGCUUGAGAUUGAAAUGUAAUGCAGGAAUGAGAACGUCAGACUCUUGUAGAAUUGAAGCCGAACCUUGAAGCCGAACUCGGAACAAAGGAAUCCGAGAGGAUAGUCGAAUGAAUCAAAGUUUAUGUUGUCGAAUGUUAUAUGAUUUUUAAUUUGCAUCAGAUUAUUGUUGUAUGACGUUGUCAAUGACUAAUGGUUAAGUUGUAUGUGUCGUCCACAGGUACUACACGGAUUUCUUCUGCUGCUAAGGAAGCGAAGCGGACGUAGAUCGAGUCAAGAGCAAGGAUUGUACGGAUAGAUCGGUCACAUAGUUGAAGUAUAUAAUGUCUAGAAAUCUAAAUUUUAGUAUGAAUGUUGUGAAUUCUUUUAUAGAACGUUUAACAUUUUUAGAAUUUGGAACCUUCGUGAAAGUAAUGUCGUUAAUAAGGAAAGAAAUUUUAAAGCUCUUUUUCCGCUGCGGCAUUUUUAA